rnacentral:rRNA from 1 species
UACGUAGGGAGCAAGCGUUGUCCGGAAUCAUUGGGCGUAAAGCGCGCGUAGGUGGCUUCGUAAGUCCGUUGUGAAAGUCAAAGGCUCAACCUUUGAAAGCCGAUGGAUACUGCGGAGCUAGAGUACGGAAGAGGCGAGUGGAAUUCCUGGUGUAGCGGUGGAAUGCGCAGAUAUCAGGAGGAACACCAAUGGCGAAGGCAGCUCGCUGGGACGGUACUGACGCUGAGACGCGAAAGCGUGGGGAGCAAACAGG